UACGUAGGGUCCGAGCGUUUGUCCGGAAUUACUGGGCGUAAAGAGCUCGUAGGUGGUUUGUCGCGUUGUUCGUGAAAACUCACAGCUCAACUGUGGGCGUGCGGGGCGAUACGGGGCAGACUUGAGUACUGCAGGGGGAGACUGGAAUUCCUGGUGUAGCGGUGGAAUGCGCAGAUAUCAGGGAGGGAAACACCCGGGUGGGCGAAAGGGC
rnacentral:rRNA from 1 species